UACAGAGGUCUCAAGCGUUGUUUCGGAUUCAUUGGGCGUAAAGGGUGCGUAGGCGGCGCGGUAAGUCGGGUGUGAAAUCUCGGAGCUUAACUCCGAAACUGCAUUCGAUACUGCCGUGCUUGAGGACUGGAGAGGAGACUGGAAUUUACGGUGUAGCGGUGAAAUGCGUAGAUAUCGUAAGGAAGACCAGUGGCGAAGGCGGGUCUCUGGACAGUUCCUGA
rnacentral:rRNA from 1 species